AGUGAACGCUGGCGGUAGGCCUAACACAUGCAAGUCGAACGGCAGCACAGGAGAGCUUGCUCUCUGGGUGGCGAGUGGCGGACGGGUGAGGAAUACAUCGGAAUCUACUUUUUCGUGGGGGAUAACGUAGGGAAACUUACGCUAAUACCGCAUACGACCUACGGGUGAAAGCAGGGGACCUUCGGGCCUUGCGCGAUUGAAUGAGCCGAUGUCGGAUUAGCUAGUUGGGGGGGUAAAGGCCCACCAAGGCGACGAGCCGUAGCUGGUCUGAGAGGAUGAUCAGCCACACUGGUACUGAGACACGGUCCAGACUCCUACGGGAGGCAGCAGUGGGGAAUAUUGGACAAUGGGCGCAAGCCUGAUCCAGCCAUACCGCGUGGGUGAAGAAGGCCUUCGGGUUGUAAAGCCCUUUUGUUGGGAAAGAAAUCCAGCUGGCUAAUACCCGGUUGGGAUGACGGUACCCAAAGAAUAAGCACCGGCUAACUUCGUGCCAGCCGCCGCCGUAA
rnacentral:rRNA from 1 species